GGNGGAAUUCNUGGUGUAGCGGUGAAAUGCNUAGAUAUNACGAAGAACUCCAAUUGCGAAGGCAGCUUACUAAACUAUAACUGACGCUGAAGCACGAAAGCGUGGGUAUCAAACAGGAUUAGAUACCCUGGUAGUCCACGCCGUAAACGAUGAUUACUAGCUGUUUGUGAUAUUACAAUAAGCGGCUAAGCGAAAGCGAUAAGUAAUCCACCUGGGGAGUACGCCGGCAA
rnacentral:rRNA from 1 species